CCCCUCCACCGAGCCGGACACCGCGCGCCGUAUGCACGCACGCACGCAGAGGCCGAACCCGGAUCGAUCUGGCGCACUGGUCGAUCCCGUGCCCUCCAAGGCCGCCGCAUGCGAGGACAGCAACUCGAGGAACCCUACCGUGCACUCUUCCCCACCCUUCCUUGUCCGCACGAGCCGCUGGGGCAAAACGAAUCUCGCCCGGAGCUCCGCCGUCCGCCGCCGUUCGCCGGAAGAUUGCACCGCCCGGAGCAAGAGGAACGACCCCGCCCGACUUCGCCGGAGCACGCCGCGUUUCCGUCGCCGCCGUCGCCUGCAGAGUACGCCCCGCCGCCUUUGAGCACCACCACCGCCUCCGCCACUCCCAGCCGCAUCCGCCCGCCUCGUCACCCUCGCCGGAAACCCGCCGGAGAGCCGCCGCCGCCGACACCCGACCACCGUCGCCGUUUUCCCCUGUUCUGAUUGUCCGGAGUGCGACGCGAGCUAUUGUCAGGAGUGUGACUUUCUGAACAAGAACCAAGGCAAGUUACAUGUUUAUCAUCCUUUACCUAUUGUUUUCUAUGCAUGUAGUUAUAUCACACUAUGAAUAUAUGCAUGUAUAGGGAUAGGCCACCUCAAAUGGCGUGAGCCGCAUGCGGGGAGACCCGCACGUACGGUUUUCAGGGGGAUCCGGCCGGCCGGCGCCCACCCGACUAGAGGGACUGAGAAAUUAAUCGAGUACAAAACUUAUCUUCAAGCUUUACCUUAUUUUGAUCGUUUAGAAGGCGAUCGCGGAGUCACUGAAUGAAGUCCUCCCUCCUUUCUUUCGGAGGUGCUAACCCGCUGCGAGGCAGAUAUGACUAAGUGACAUAUUGAAUAUGGCGACGACUACAGCAUGUCGUAGAAGGAGAAAAGAGGUGGAGCC